ACAGCAGCAGCCGCGGGAAUACGGAGGGUGCAAGCGUUAUCCGGAUUUAUUGGGUUUAAAGGGUCCGUAGGCGGACUUAUAAGUCAGUGGUGAAAGCCUGUCGCUUAACGAUAGAACUGCCAUUGAUACUGUAAGUCUUGAGUAUAUUUGAGGUAGCUGGAAUAAGUAGUGUAGCGGUGAAAUGCAUAGAUAUUACUUAUAACACCAAUUGCGAAGGCAGGUUACCAAGAUAUAACUGACGCUGAGGGACGAAAGCGUGGGUAGCGAACAGGAUUAGAUACCCCCGUAGUCCCUGUCUCUUAUAC
rnacentral:rRNA from 1 species